CUCUGCUGUUGAGGGAGGGGGUGGGCACCUAUCCAGAGCAGCUCGCUGAACUCCGAAAGAGCACCGGAUACACACGCUGCCUGCCCAGCAGGGGCCUUGUCUUUCCACCGGAGCCCCCAUCUGAUGGCCUGGCCUUCUAGAACAUUCCAUGGAUGCCAAGUCUAGUGGCCUCAUCAGUCUCCCCAGCCUGGCCCUUGCUCCCUUGCUUUCUCCUCUACUCCUUGGCCAACAUUCCCCAAGGCAGCAAACGAACCCCACAUUUAAAGACAACUGAAAGCUGAGAGGCCUGAACUCCCAACCAGACCAUCACGGAAAC
rnacentral:lncRNA from 1 species